AUUGAACGCUGGCGGCAUGCCUUACACAUGCAAGUCGAACGGUAACAGGUCUUCGGAUGCUGACGAGUGGCGAACGGGUGAGUAAUACAUCGGAACGUGCCUAGUAGUGGGGGAUAACUACUCGAAAGAGUGGUUAAUACCGCAUGAGAUCUACGGAUGAAAGCAGGGGAUUGCAAGACCUUGUGCUACUAGAGCGGCCGAUGGCAGAUUAGGUAGUUGGUGGGAUAAAAGCUUACCAAGCCGACGAUCUGUAGCUGGUCUGAGAGGACGAACAGCCACACUGGGACGGAGACACGGCCCAGAGGCCUACGGGAGGCAGCAGUGGGGAAUGUUGGACAAUGGGCGCAAGCCUGAUCCAGCAAUGCCGCGUGCAGGAUGAAGGCCUUCGGGUUGUAAACUGCUUUUGUACGGAACGAAAAGCCUUGGGUUAAUACCCUGGGGUCAUGACGGUACCGUAAGAAUAAGCACCGGCUAACUACGUGCCAGCCGCCGCCGUAACAC
rnacentral:rRNA from 1 species